AUUGAACGCUGGCGGCAUGCCUUACACAUGCAAGUCGAACGGCAGCACGGAGCUUGCUCUGGUGGCGAGUGGCGAACGGGUGAGUAAUAUAUCGGAACGUACCCAAGAGUGGGGGAUAACGUAGCGAAAGUUACGCUAAUACCGCAUACGAUCUAAGGAUGAAAGCAGGGGACCUUCGGGCCUUGUGCUCCUGGAGCGGCCGAUAUCUGAUUAGCUAGUUGGUGAGGUAAAGGCUCACCAAGGCAUCGAUCAGUAGCUGGUCUGAGAGGACGACCAGCCAAACUGGAACUGAGACACGGUCCAGACUCCUACGGGAGGCAGCAGUGGGGAAUUUUGGACAAUGGGGGCAACCCUGAUCCAGCAAUGCCGCGUGAGUGAAGAAGGCCUUCGGGUUGUAAAGCUCUUUUGUCAGGGAAGAAACGGUGAAGGCUAAUAUCCUUUGCUAAUGACGGUACCUGAAGAAUAAGCACCGGCUAACUACGUGCCAGCCGCCGCCGUAACAC
rnacentral:rRNA from 1 species